AGGUUUGUAACUCAGUGGUAGAGUAUCAUUUCAACACAAUGAAGGACAACGGUUCAAAUCCGUUCAAACCUA
rnacentral:tRNA from 1 species